GCCCCUGUAGUGUAGUACGGUUUAGCAUUUAAGACUGUCACUCUUGAGACCCGGGUUCAAAUCCCGGCGGGGGCGCCA
rnacentral:tRNA from 1 species